rnacentral:sRNA from 1 species
GUCCUGCCAGAAAAGCGUGAACCCAGAUGCCUGGGCCGGAACCAUAGGCAGGCCUGGUGACCACAGGGAUACUUGUCUUAGUGUGCUCCCCUAGCCAGCAGCUGGAGCACCCCCUGGCCUGUGGGAACAUAGUCAGGGAACCCAUGUCACAGACAGAAGGGCACUGGGAGGAAAUGGAAAAGCGAUUAGAGUCCAGUUAUACUGUGAUUGUUUUCAUGGGAACCACUAGGUGUGCCAGCACCAGGCCCAGAGUGAGGGUAUGAGCCACAGCUCCCCAUCUACUGCUGGGCCAGCAGGGCACGUUCUCCCCAGACUUCAUCCACUGGGGAGCCUUUGUACGUUGCAAAGUGGAACCAAGUCAUGGGAUGAACAGGGUGGCCCAGAGUUAGCAUUCCCAGAGGCCUUGGCCACAGAGAACUGUCCUGUGAAAGAGCAAGGGAGCAGCGAGUAUGUGACAUGUUGGCCUGCUGCUUCCUCUGCAGAGAGAGGUCCUGCCAUCCACCCGCCUGGGUACCCUACCACCUGCCUUCAGCACUCGGGUGCUGCCAGCUCAAGCCACGGAGUAUGCCUUCGCCUUCAUCCAGGUGCCCCAAGAUGAUGAUGCCCGCACGGACGCCGUGGACAGCGUAGUUCGGGAUAUCCAGAACACUCAGUGCCUGCUCAACGUGGAACACCUGAGUGCCGGCUGCCCCCAUGUCACCCUGCAGUUUGCAGAUUCCAAGGGCGAUGUGGGGCUGGGCUUGGUGAAGGAGGGGCUGGUCAUGGUGGAGGUGCGCAAGGAGAAACAGUUCCAGAAAGUGAUCACAGAAUACCUGAAUGCCCAAGAGUCAGCCAAGAGUGCCAGGCUGAACCUGUGGCGCUAUGGAGACUUUCGAGCUGAUGAUGCAGACGAAUUUGGCUACAGCCGCUAAGGAGGGGAUCGGUUUUGGCCCCCAGCCCCGCUCACGCCAGUCCCUCUUCCUCUGUUGGGAGGGUGUUUUCAACUCCAAACCCCAGAGAGGGGUUGUAGAUUGGGUCCAGCUUUGCUUCAGUGUAUGGAAAUGUCUUGUAGGGUGGCAUCGGGGCUGCAGGGGGAACCCCAAGGCUUUCUGGGGCAGACCCUUGUCCUCUGGGAUGAUGGGCACUGCUAUCCACAGUCUCUGCCAGUUGGUUUUAUUUGGAGGUUUGUGGGUUUUUUUUUUUUUUAAAAAUCCUCAAAUCAGGAAGAAACAUCAAAGACUAUGUCCUAGUGGAGGGAGGAAUCCUAACACCCAGGCCAGCCGCCAGCUGGCACCUGCCUCUAUCCCAGACUGCCCUCCUCCCAGCUCUCUGUCCAACUGUUGAUUAUGUGAUUUUUCUGAUAUGUUCAUUCUCAAAUGCCAGUGUGUUCACAUCUUCGCCCUGGCCAGCCCAUUCUGUAUUUAAAGCUUUUGAGGCCCAAUAAAAUAGUAUGUGCUGUCUGCAGCCCUUAUUGGUCAUA